rnacentral:lncRNA from 1 species
CUGCUAUUGCAACAAAUCCUGUUGCUGCUGCUUCAACGAGGCUCUCGAGUUAGCACCAGUGCCGCAGAGAGAAUGAGAACUCCUUCCUCGGCCCCUCAUCCCUGACGAUGCUGCUGUUGAGUGGCGGUUGAGACUGGCCUGGCGACAAGAAGAAAUCGUCCAGCUUCGUUGCAAUGCGGUUGUUGUGAUUCUUCUUGUUGUUGAUCGCUGCUGCUGCUGCUGCUGGUGUUGUUGCGGAAGAGUGACCGAAGAAAUCGUCUGCGUUUUGGAAACUCCCAAGCGCCAGUAGUCCGUGGCCCAGAUGUUUCCCUUGGUUGUCAUACUGAUCCCAUCCCAUCUUUGGCUGCCUCGCCAUCCUUGAGUCCUCGCUUCCUUUCAAUUUCCCUGCUGAAAAAGAAGCUUGUUAUCAACUGCGGUCCCUCAAAUAGCAAUGAAAUGAUUGGGGAAUUCCUUCACAAACUGCAUGUACUUCAUGAAUUUCUGAAGUUUGAGCUGUUGUGGUAACACAUGUUCGGCAGCAAAUUCCACGCCAAACUAUGACAAGAGAGUGAGUCCAGUAAAAUUUAUAAGGAACAAAAAAGUUUUCCGCGAAAUCAGCCUCUUCCGCAAAGAGAUCGAGCCGUCAUUGUAUGUGCAAGCGGCAAGCAUCGAGUUCCAGGAGACAAGGUUGCGCUCCUCGGGCAUUCGAUCGAAGAUGCGCUUGGCCGCAGCAAUAUGAGGAUGUGCAAGGCUGGGACGAUGGUGGUGAAGAAGGAGAGUCUUGCUCUCCGGACAACGUCGUCUAUAGUAUCCUCAUCAACGCGUGCUGCAAUGUCUGGGAAGAUCUACGAUGGCGAGAAGCUGCUGGCAGAGAUGCUGGAGAAGAAGCUCCAGCCGGACGUGGUGUGCUUCAGCUCGCUCGUCGAUUGCCUGGACAAGGCUGGUCGAUACGGCGACGCUUAUCGGCUCUUCCGGAGGAUGGAGAAAGGGUGCAAGCCAUCGCGUCGGUGAUGCUGGACUCUUUCACGAAACGGGGAGAAGUAGCGCAGGCUCUGGAGCUCGUCGACGAGUUCGUGGACUUGCCGCUGCCAUCGGCGGAUCUUGAACCAGCUCGUCAAGACGAUUGUGGUGGAAGAUGGCGUCCGGCUACUCAAGACGAUAGGGAGCUCUGCCGGAGGAAAAACGCUGGCGAGGCGCUGGAGCUGGUGAAGGAGAUGCGAGCGGCUGGCUAAACGUCCGUGGAUCUCUCGUGCGCGAUCGAGAUGCUGUGCAAGAUGAAGAUGGUGGAGGUUGUACGAGGAGAUGAAAUCCUCGCAGCAGCAGGAGCUCCUCCCAAGCGUCUCCACUUACAAUAUUCUUUUGGAGAGCUUGUGCCGCGAGGGACGGCUGGGACUUGUUCCAGGAGAUGAUCGAGAGCCCCCGACGUGAACUCUUACGAGAUCUUGGUGGAGGCGCUGUGCAAGGCCGGGAAGAUCUUCCAGGGGCACGAGCUGUUCAAGCAGCUCAUCGUUUCUCCUGGAAGCUUUCACAUAAAUAGAUCGAGCGAGUCCGGGUUUCAAUGCCAAUGCCAAGCUGGGUGGCCAAGCCAUCCCACAACGGCAAGAGCGUCAAAACGACCAACACCAGCGUCACAGCAUAGGCGAUUUGCCUCCAAGUGCCAACACCAGUAACGUCGUUGAGGCAGGCCUUCUCGGACGAUCUCUGUAUCGGAAAACACACAGUAAGAACUCUCUAAGAAACGAAAGAACCAACAUUACCUGGAAUGCGUGAAAGUUGAGUGAGAAGAAAGGCUUAAACGUUCCUAAGAUUACGACUCCCAGUCCGAGUAGCAAGUAAGAUCAAGCCAGUGGUAUCAACACCUUACUCCCGAAUGCGGCCUGUAUGCUCUCUCACUCAAUCCAAAGUUGGAUUCUAGGUAAAUUGCGAACCUGUCCGUCUACAAGAAGUCGGCUACACAAGACCUGGUGUAAGUGGAAAAGACUGUUGGACUUGAAUCGGGCAUUUGUUCCCCUUCAAGGGAACUUGAAGAUUUAACUUGCAAAAUCGAGUUUUUUCAUCCUGCUUGCCACGAAGUAAGUCUCAAGGAACUUAGAAAGAAUGCCAACUUACUUGGUUCCUCACUCUUCCUCGGAACUUUGCUCCUCGUUGCUGUAGUCCGAGGCGUAGUCGUCCUCGAGCUCCGGAUUUAGAUCCAGCUGCACGAACGGCACCUGGAUUACUCCUGGAGCCGGUGCCGCUGGACCUGGAGCUGGCGGUGCCACUUCCGGCAGUGGAACCGGAUCUCCGGGCUUCCAUCCGGGAGGCAUCGGUGGGAGCUUGAUUCCGGGAGGCAGUCCGGGAAGAGUAACCGGAGUGGAAGUAGAGGGCGUGAGCUUUCCUGCUGCUGCUUCUUUCGGUGGUGAUUUUUCCACCGUUGGCGACGGCAGCGAUGGCGCUGGUGGCGGUGCGGUUGCCGGAGCUUUCAAGACGCCGAGAUCCAUGUCGCUGAAGUGGUAGAGCUGCGAAGCUCGCAUUUGCUGCUCCUGAGGAGCCGGAGCCAGCACUCCGGGCUGACCGAGAAGAUAAUCCGGAGGAGCAAACGUCGUGUAGCUGAUCCUAUGAGCGUAGGAGACGAGCUCGGACACGUCCACCUCGGCGUCCAUUGUCUUCCUCUCCUUGGAUGGCCGCCUGUACUCCUCGAAUUCCUCCAGCGUGAGCUCCAGGACCUGCUCCGCGUCCCUGACGCGCUUGGCAAACUCCCGGAUCACCGCGUCCUUGGCCGCCACCGCCUCCGCGAUGCGCUGCUUCUCCUGCUCCAGGCUCUGGAGCUCGGCAAUCUCGGAUACCGCGUCCGAUAGAAGCGAUUGAUGCGAGUCGAGGAGCGCCAGGACGUCUUUGGUGCUAUUGGCGACCAGGCCCUCGGCGGGCACGGGAGCUCCGGCCAGGAAAGGGGGGAAGAGGCUCUUGAGAUGGCUGCCUUGCCACGAUUUGCUGCCUGCAUCGACCAAGUCUCGAUCUGGAGAGGAAAGAGAAGCAAGACGCUUGCUUACCGGCUAGCUCGAGAAGGCGCACUGUAAGGCCCGCCAUGUCCUGGAGCAAGACCUGCGCGCGCCUGUGCGGAGGAAGCGACUGGACCGCGCCUCCCUCUGCCAUGGCCCUAGGAUCUAGCCAGGGACCAAAACUUUUCGCGCCAAAUAUUUGAGUUUGCCAAAAGCCCUAAAUGCGAAUCCAAAGACAAAGGGAAAAAGAAAGGUCUGCGUUCUUUUAUAAAAAUUCGAUAUCACAAGUAUAUGACAGUGUCCAGACUACUACUCACCCUUGGUGACCACAAACUCACGAGAAAAUUCGACUCUCUUGCUGAUGUACUUCUUGGCUCUUCGGUGCAUCCCGUUGCUUUUCGGGUACCAUAGGAGAUGCAUGUCGGCCUCCAGACGAAUGUUAAACCCGAGCUGAAACUUGGACGCCAUGCUCGCAGGCAGAUGCCACACAAUAACAGGAAAGUCUUCCACGCUGAUUUUUGUUCGUCCUCCUCGAAAAGGCGGCUAGAAAGAAAACGAAUUUGAAAAGAAUCAACCUUGAGGGAAAUUGACCCGGAGUAUGGUUUGGAUGGAUUAUACUUCAUGCCGUUGUGAUUCCAGUGAAGUAAUUUCCACUCGACCUUUGCAAUGUUCCCUGAAGGUUCAACAUGGAUCGACUCGUACCCUAUUGGCUCUUGGCGUGACUGCCCCCACUUCUUCUUGAAUGUGAACGAUACUGCCCAUGAAUUAAAUCGAGCUCCAAUCUCACCUUCGAUGUUCUUGGUGAGAGUGCUAGAAUUGGCAUUAACACGGCUGCCGUUGUAGUCAUAGAUAGUAAUGGCAGAGUUUUUCAUCUCGCCAAGCUGUGGAUUAAUAUGGAGUUUGAUGCGGUAUCCUAGAACCUUGGUGUUGAUGAUUACAUCGUUGUCGUCCACACCGAGAAAGAAGUUCUUGAUCUCCAGAGCCACCUCGGUGUUGGCGCAGCUCUCCCGUAAGGAUGGGAGGAUCACCAUCGAAGCAUCCACGAGCUGCUGGCUCUUGGGCGAUCGAAACAUCCACGAGCUGCUGACUGCCCAAGAGCCAGCAGCUUGCUGUUGUCUCCACUCCACCCUUCCGAACCCACGAAGAAGAUCGAUUGUCUCCCUCUUGCAUGAACUUUCAUGCCACCAUUUGCCCUGCCUUGGUCGGGCUCCGGCUUCCAUAUUGUUCUUGAACGUCUCUAGCAGUCGGUCUCCAAACCUCCGGAUCGUCAGAAUAGUUGUCUUCUCCAGAAAAGUCAAUUGCCAUGAAUGGCUUUGAGGCCAGCCGAAGGAGAGCCAAGGCCUCCUGGAACCUCUUUGAACGCCUGCUUCUUGCCAUCCAGCUGCUUGACAAGGUCCAUUUCUUCUGCUAGCUCCUGGUAUUUAAAUGCCUGGCCUACAUUUUGAGAUAAGUAGUAACAAAAAAAAACAACAACGAAUAACAACACCUUACUAUAUAAUUACUAUAAUUGCAUUGAUUUAUACACAUUAGCCACAAAAUGCUAACAUGCAUUUGCUUCUCCAUCAUUUCUAAAUGUAAUGCUUAUUUUGUAUUACAUUGUGAAGUCUGUUGGUUCAACUCAAAAGAAAGCUUAUACCCUACCCAAGUUGCUUUUAUGUUGAUGAGAUUCCUCAAUUCUUUGCAAAUCUUCUACAAGUCCUUUAACUUAUAAAUACUAGACCAUCUUUCAGCAUGCUGACUAGAUUUUCAUGGCACAUUUCAUUUACAAAUACAUUAUAUACCAUUUCAGAGUCCCUACAAUCCUCAUUUCAAAUCAUGGUUACACUUUCCUUGGGCAAGUCACACAAUGGCUCCUCCAGCUCUUAGAGGUGCAUGAAGAGUAGUAGUUACCACCCCAGUUGAAUAGCUAAGCUAAGUCCAGCUUUAAGCUCGGGCAUGGGAUCUUCCCAAACUCAAUGAGCAACACUGUGUAGCAACCAAUCAUGUGCAAGUACAAGGGACAGGGUGAUCAAUUCUGAUGGGAUGACCUUUUCCCACUGGACAGUUUGUGAUGCUAGGAUUUUGCACCUUUUGCAAAAUUCUCUCCCAGGUGGCUUGGGACUUUUUACUACUUUUCUACACUAUAUCAUAUAUUCACCAUAUGCUUUAUUCAUCAUUCAAGAAGCCAUCCUGAUGUUUGAGAGCAUAUUUACUCAAAGAAUAAUUUGAGAAAGAACAGACAUUGUACCUCAAGUGCCACUGCAGCCAGUUCGAGCUCGUGAUCAAUCUUGGAAAUCUUGCUUAAAUCAGCAUCCCCGGCCGAGGAGAGCCUAGGACGACCACGGGAAGCAGCCCUCUCCGGGAAAGCACCGGGCCGGACACAGCAGUCCGAACCAGAAUCUACGUACUUGGUUCAUCAGCUUCAACCUAGUUGUUGCAACGGCACUUUGAAUUUGAACUAAAAACAACAUAUAGACAGUAUGUUGUGGUGCAAGCUCAUCUAAGCCGGCAUGGAGCACGACUAGUGUCCUCAACAUGUUUAGUGCGAGCAUUUUGAUCACCAAUUUGAUUCCAAGAGAGAAAAACACUAUACAGAAAUCGCAACAACAACCGCCAGUUGUAGAUUGUGAUUAUUCUCUGCAAUCUGACGAUGGAACAGCUCGAAACCAUCAUCUUCGCACUAACUCGGGAAGUCUUGGACGAUUCACCACGCACUAGAAGAUUGGGGGUUUUUUCUUAACUUUCUAUUGACUUUCUAUUGAGAACGCUGUUGCGCAUCUACUGAUGUGUUUGCUAACAUACCUGAAUAUCGAUGAACUCCUCUCGCUUGUAGUUGAAAAGAGCUUGAGAGGCUUGAGCGACCAAGCUUAAGCUUGCGACCUCUUCUCAUAUAACAAGAACUAAACAAUGAAAGUCAAGCAGACCAAAACACUUUUUUUUUCCCCUGGAAUCUUUUCACUUUGGAACGAGCUCGGGAACUUCCCUGCGACCAUCACUCAGGCUGUUCAUUUAGUGUGCAACCUCAGCAUCUUGGAAAGGACAGGUGACAUGUAGAAGUUUAUUCCAUUGUUAAAGUUAUCGCUGACUGCCGCAUCGUGAGCAUGACUCACGAGAUUGACGAAGAUUUCUCUACAAGAAAAUACGCGGGAGCUGGCUUCGUUGUGGCUUCAUCUACACGACAAUAAGAGUGACGCAGCAAGGUCAGUGUUCUCCCAUUCUCGCAACAGCAGCAGCAAACGAGCAAGAUGGCAAUGGCAGGUGGGUAUUUCUCCCAUCUCGGUUCGCUCAUGGGCUUCAUCAUGAUCCUCAACCAGAUAGUUCCGCGCCACGUCUGGUUCCUUCUGGAGCUCAAGCUCAAGAGGUUUGUAACUUGGCUAUGGUGGGAGACAGAGCUCUCAAUCCCAGAGUACGUCCGCAACAACACCAACGAGAUCUACGACCUGGUCGACCUCUACGUUGCUCACCUCACCGACACCAACACCAAGAGCUCGGCAAACAGGAUCCAGUUCACGCGAGUGAAGAACGCCAGCAAGCCGAAUUGCAACCUCGCCAGGGGCGAGCGAGUGGAGGACAAGUUCAAAGGCGUCACAUUCUCCUGGGUCUUCAACGUCACCGAGCCCUCCAACGGCAGAGGCUUCAGCUAUUUUGAUCGCAGUGGAGGAACACGCCGAGAGUACGUUGUCCAAGUUCACAGGAGGCACAAGUAUACACUCUUGCCCGAGUACAUGAGGGAAGUGAUCAAGCUCGGAGAGAGCUUGAAGCACCAGAACCAAGACCGGCAGCUCUACACCAACAUAGGAAAAUCGGACGACUACAGGAACAAGCCGUGGAGAUCGGUGCCUUUCAAGCAUGCCUCGACGUUCUCGAGCCUGGCGCUGGAUCCCGAGCUCAAGAACAAGAUCGUCCAGGACCUGGAUUCCUUCAUGGCUGGUAAGGAUUUCUUUGAGAGAGUUGGGAGGGCUUGGAAGCGGGGGUAUCUCUUAUACGGGCCUCCGGGGACUGGGAAGUCGUCACUCAUCGCUGCCAUAGCAAACUACACGCAGUACGAUGUCUAUGACAUGGAGCUAACGGAGGUGAAGAGCAAUGCCGACUUGAGGAAGCUGCUCAUGGGGAUUUCCAACAAGGCGAUCAUCGUGAUCGAGGACAUUGACUGCUCGCUGGAGCUCAAGAAAAGGGGAAAGCCAGCCCCAGAGGAAGAAACCAGUGAAGAGUCCAAGGAGAAAGAUGGAGCGUUGCCAGGGAAACAAGCCAAGAAGAAAGAUGAAGAGAGCAGCAGGGUCACACUUUCAGGGCUACUGAAUUUCAUCGAUGGGCUGUGGUCUUGUAGCGGGAGCGAGAGGAUCAUCAUCUUUACGACAAAUCACAAGGAAGAUCUGGAUCCCGCACUGCUGCGGUCGGGCAGGAUGGACCUUCACAUUUUGAUGGGCUACUGUGGAUUUGAGGCGUUCAAGGUGCUGGCGUGGACUCACCUUGAGAUCUCGCAGAAGGGCGAGUUUGAGAAGGAGUUUGGAGAGAUCGCGGAGCUGAUCGCCAAGGUUGAGAUCACUCCUGCUGAUAUCGCGGAGGUGUUGAUCCAGAACAGGAGGAACUCGAGAGGGGCUCUAGAGAAAGUGAUUGAGGCUCUUCGGGAGCAGGCUGCAAAGAAAGAUGAAGAAGAGGAGGGGGACGGUAAAAGCAAGCAGGAAUGAUCAAACUUGCUUGCUCAAGGUUGAUCAAGGUGCUUGCUGGCGUGGAGCCCACGUGGAACUUCCGGGAUUUAUUCAAAUGUUCUUUUCCCUCCAAAACUUACACUAAUGAAUGUUCCAUCACUAAGCAAUUUGUAUUGUGACUUUAGCCAAAAAAUUCCACUCGAAAACUAUGUGGGAGAUUACAAUAAAUGUUCCACACUCAAAAUCUAUGUGGACGUUGACAUUAGAGGGUAUUUAACGCAAGUAGGAUUGCAAGUUGGAAAUCCACAAUCUAUAUAGUGAGUUGACUGAGAUCUUCCAAAAUACCAAUCUCCUACAGCUUUUGCUAAUGACUGUAGAGCAAAGAAAAAAAUAUUAAUCACAUAAUUUAGAUUUUAUCUGGAAAAAAAUUUAUAAACCUUUCCAUGUAUUCUUGGUCUUGUCCAUUUGAUGUCUACCUCAAGUUGACAAUGGCUAAAGCAAGAAUCGAUAAAGGUUCCCCAGCCUGCUCUAGAUUGAGCAUAGAAGAGACCAUUCAGCAGAUUUUGUCGGAAUGCUUGAAAGUUCAAGAUAUGUUGUAAUAAAAAUGAGUUCAUGAAAUAAUUAUAGAGCUUCCUACCUUGCAAAGUUUUUGCAUGGAAACAAAAAGAAGAUUUCAUGCAAGGGCUGUAUUGCCUCCAGGAAAUCUCUUUUACAUUUUCAAGCUGUAGAAAUUUGUUGAAUAAUAAGUUUGAAAUUAAAAGGAGAAUUACCUGCCAAUUAUCAUAUGCUGCAUUAACAAAAAACGUGGGCUGUCUUAUGUAGCCCUGUGCUUGUUGUGGAAAGAAACACUAGGAAGGAAAAUACUAACACUCAGAUUAAGAAAAAAAUUAUAAAUUAAAACCUGCACUGGAUCUUUUGCCGAGGUACAAGCUCUAGCCAGAGUGUUUUGCAAUUUCUGUUUUAUGGCAUAUUAAGAAAAUAAAACAAGAUUAUUAAGAAAUUCCUGAAAAACCUGUAAAUUCACCACUCCUUUGUAAUAGUUGUACAUGGCAAAGUUUCCUCUGAUGCUUUGGCUGACAACUCAGGUGGGUGAGUUAAAAUACAAAUUUAAAGAGGAAAUUACCCAUUCACAAAGUAACCAGCAUCACUCAAACAUUUAACGUUGGCAUUAGGUAGAAGAUAUUUGAACUCGUUACAACGAUGAACAACUCCAAGUCCUCCAGCAGAACACCCACUUAAAAGUGCCUAUUAACCAACAUAGAAAUCAGCUAAAUUAUCAAUUAGCAACCUGUUUAGCAGUGCUCAGUCCCUUGGUUUGCAGGUGCUUCACAACAGCUCUAAAAAUUCUGAGUCCUCGAAAAUAUAGAGCCUGAAGAGAAACUAAAAAAGUAUAUGAACACCAGCUUAAGAAAAAUAAUUAUCUUAACUUGUCCAGACCAGUGCCUUACUGGAACAGCAACAUCUGCACUGAAAGAUCCUCCAUCACAAUAACGCACAUAUACAUGGUUCCAGUUGUAGAAAUCUUUUACAGCAAACAACAUAAUAAUAAUUAGGUGAUUCAUAAAUUAAUAUCACUAACAUACCUGGAUUGGCAGAAUACUUGUUGCUAAGAAUACCAUUAAAUAAUAUUUGAUUGGACAUGAGUUUCGAGCUUCCAUGACUUGUCUUGGCUCGAGUGGCACAAGCGGAUGAGCUUUCACACCAGCCUCCACCCUGUCAUUCACAUUCCUCCAAUUUCAACUAUACAGUAUUAAAUACACAAGAUUGACUCACUUCCAAACGUAUAUGCCAGUUCUUCGCUCCAGAGCCAAAACCAGGCCUCAAAUGAUAUGCUGGGGCGCUCCCAUCCAAGCAAACUGCAAGAGAAUUCAUGGAACUUUGUUUGAUCGAGAAAGGAAAAGCGCAAGAGAGAGACCUGCUCCAGAUUGCCUGGCGUCUUGAAGAAGAGUGAUGCCUACAGCAUCUCCAGCUUUCUCCUGAGUGUAGUUUAUAGCCUUCGUAAAUGCCGCGUCUGGGAAUGGGGUCAAUCCAAACGAGAAUCCAAAUUGGAGGAGCAAACUUAGCAGAGCUGGAAAUCUUAUAAGCAUUGCACUUUCGAAGAGAAGCACGAAAGCAAGCCAAACGCAAGAGAGGAAAGGAUUCCUGGAAGAAGGAUGAGAACAAAUGAAACACCCGCUGGAAAGCACUGGCUAAAUUCUAUUCUUUCAGUCCACAUCUAGUCUUUGGUGGAGAAAGGGACCGAAUGAACGUCAUGCCAACUUCCAAGAAUGAAAUAAUUCUUUCUUAGCUUUGAAAUCUCUUGACAGUUUAUAUGUUACUAAAAGGUUGCCAUGCACGGCAUGGUUAAAAUUUAAUAAUUGUUCCAAAUAAUCUUCGUGAAAAUAUAGUUAGUGACUACACAGGAGUAAGUAUGUACAUGGCUACAUCGUGCGAUUCAACUCUGGAUGUAAUACUGGAAUUAUACGUGCCCGUGCCUGGAAGCUCUUGACGCUAAGAAAUUCACACCACUAUUAGAAAUCCUCCAAAGUUAAUAUAAAAAUCGAUGUUACGUACCUUCCAAACAUCGCGGAUCAUCACUGAAACGUUACUAGGAAUGCCAAGCGCAGCAAAUUCGGCUGUGAUAUCAGCUGGAUCACUGCCUCGAUUGAGCAUCAAGAGCGCAAAUCUCCCGUUUGAGAGCGGGCCUCCCCACACCUGGAUCAAAACUUGUGCAUUUUCUUCUCCUCAAUCACAUCCACUCAAAUUUACCUCUUGUUCUCCAUCUCCCGCCACCUUUCUUCCUUGAACCCCUAGCGCAUCUAUACAAAGACAUAGAGAGAAAAUGUACGGGCAAGAGAGAGGGAUUUGGGCCUCACCUUGGUUGAUUUGGAUCACCUCUUUGUUCAUGAGAAUGGCCAGGUCCUGGGCCGCAAUGUUCCGUACGUCGCAACCAAUAAUCAACGGUGCCUGUUCGUUUAGGUCAGAUUCUUCCUUUCCCUCUCUUUUUUCCAUUUGCCCUUACUUUCAUGAGCGCCCACAAGCUGAAGUGCGUGCGCGAUUCCUGGAAGCUCAUGCCGCCAUUGCCGAUCUCCAGCAUGUCCGGAUCUGGUCGAUCGAGGAUUAGGCGCUCCAAUCGAGGUAAGAAAUCAAGGCAUUCAUGGAUUAUCGUGUACCAUUCCAUCCGCCCGGAGCGGCGUGCUCGGCCCACGCAUUGUUCUUGUCCGCGAUAGAAAUCAUCCUGCAUUGUUUGUUUGGCGGAGUGAUCGUUCUUUUGAGUGUAAAAUCCUUCUUUUGGCCUUACGAUUCCCAUUUGUUCUGUAUAUCCCCGGUUGUUCUCCAGCUAUUUCCGACGCUCGAUGCCCAUGUUGCUGGAUCUUCCUGACCCCUGUCAACAAAAAAAAUGGAAGAACUCAGCCGUCUCUCGCUUACAUUUUUUUUUUCUCUUCGCAGUUUCUUACCAUUCACACAUUGAGAAGAAAAUCGGCCGGCCUGCCGCACUAAGAGCGUCGCGCAUUAUGGGGUAUCUGUCCAUCAAAGAAACGUAAGGAUUCAUUCUAGCCGAGCGAUUUUUUAUUACCGGAUUCUCGGUGAGCUUCCAUCGGUGUGACAAUUGUCAUACUUCAAGUAAUCCACUCCCUGCGCAGCACAAAACUAACGCAACGUUUUGUCACGCAGGAUCUACGUACCCAUGCAGCAAAAGUUUUGGCGUCUUGAUCUUCGUGAUUCAAAGAUCCUGGCUGUUCCUGGCACGUCAAGUAUCUAAAGAAUCAAGUUGAUAUAAUCUGGUAAGCUCGUUUUUUACUUUCCAAAGUCUUACCCAGCGUCCGAGUAAAUCCCAAACUUGAGGUUCUUAGAAUGCACGUAGUCAGCCAAGGCUUUGAUUCCUGACGGGAAUGUGGAGUUCCGUGCUUGAAGGUUUCCCUGCAUUGAGAAGCAAAGUUACUAGCGAGAGUUUUAGCUGUAGAGAUUUUUACCUCAUUGUCUCGUGAAAGCUCCGCCCAGCAAUCAUCUAGAUAUCAAUUUUGUUAACUCGUUCGUGGCUCUUUGCAGGACCUUACCAAUGUUUACAUACUCGUAGCCAACAUCUCUGAGGCCAGUAGACACAAUCGCAUCAGCUGUAUAGAAAAAAAGAAGAAGAAGAUCGAUCAAACUGAUACUAUCAAUCCUACGAGGUAAAGUUCUUUGCUACCGGUUGCUCGAAUGAUCUCCUCGUUGAUUCCACAGUGGAAGUAAUUCCAGCUAUUCCAUCUGGCAAAACUCUACCUCAGCAGCAAGAAAAAACCAGGAACUCGAGAGAAAGAAGAGAGACCCCAUUGGCGGUGUUCUUCCCAGCCCAUUCUCCAGCAGCCGGUGACGCUCAAAAGAAUCGCUGGAUCGAACGAGAUCCGUGAGAAGCAGCACCAGCAACACGAGAUAAUUCUUGGCGGCCAUCGUUCUUGUUUCACGAGGUUUCGUCUUCUUUUUGUUGUUUGUCAUGCCAGCCGGUUGAUUCAUGUGAUUUUUGGAAGUAGUAUGUGACCCAGCGGAGCUGCCCAUGCUUGACUUUAAUAAAUCUCGCAAUCUAAGGUUGUAGUAUAGCUAUAAGAAUUAUAAGGGAAUAAAGUAUAUUUUGAAUAAUAUAGUCUGGGAGUAUUUUCUGUUUUGUGCUUCAUUAAUUAAAAUUUGAGUGCUUAGUAUUAAUCAUUAUAGUUAUAAAUGUGGGAAAGAAUUAUAAGGGAAUAAAAUAUAUGCUUAGUGCAAUACAUAAAUUUAUAUUAAUUAAACUUUUCUUUGUAAUUAUAUAUAAUAGUUAUAAUUAUUCUUUUCUAGUUAUCACCACCUUUGUUCUUCUAGUAACUAAAAAGCAUUGCCUCGGCGGUCUUGACAGCGCUGUCUUUGCCGGAGAAUUUAUCCACUAUGGCGAGCGCAAACUCCAUGGCCGUGCCCGGCCCCUGGCUCGUCGCAACCAAUCCAUCGAUCACCACUCUCGCUUCCACCGCGCUCUGGUCCGAGAGCUUGCUCUGGAACGCUGGAAACGCCGUGGCUUUCUUUCCCUGCCAGGAAACCAGCUCAAGGAACAACACAAAAGCAAAGUCAAGAGUUUUGCGAGAAACUCACAGCGAGUAUCUUGUUUGCUUCCAAAACGACUGCUGGAGAGGCACAGAUGGCUCCGUAAACUCGGCUGUCUUUGGCCUGUCUCGCGAGUAUGGAUUGGAGCUCUUUGCUGUCCCUCAAGUGCUCUGCCCCAGGCAUUCCACCCUGGAGAAGAGAAUCAAAGUUUUCUCAUACGGUCAGGCAAACCAAAGAUGCUUACUGGCAAGAAGAUCGCGUCAAAGUGAGCGGAUGAAACUUCGCCGAUGAGAUUAUCCGCCUCGAUCUUCACUUUUCUCGAUGCAACAAUCUGUAACGUCUCCUCCACCGAGGCCACCACAACGCCCAUGCCAGCACGUCUUAGAACGUCGAUGAUUAUCACGGCUUCCAUCUCUUCAGAGCCGUUUGCUAUCGGCACAAGAACCUGAAGAACGGAUCAAAGAAACCGUCGAUGAGGAUCACGAGAAAAGUACCUGAGGCUUUGACGGUACUUUAGCUGCCCAAGCUGUUUGAUUGAACUCUAAUUUCGUCGGCUUUCCCUCGAGCAAAAUCUGACCAAAACAAAACUUUGGAAGCUCAGAAAAAAAACGUGCGAGACAGCCUCCACCCACCAAUCCCUUUGAAACUUCCUGUGUUUUUUCCUUGCCAUAUAGCUGUUCAACUAAAGUGAGAGCAAACUCCAUUGCAGUACCUGGACCUCGGCUUGUGACAACGAGCCCAUCUUUCACAACUCUGGACUCUGCCGAGGAUGGAUCCGAGAGCUUGCUCACGAAACUUGGGUAGCAUGUUGCCUGAGCAGAGAAACGUUAGAAAAACUCGUAAAACUGGUAAAAGCUCUCGCUAGAUAGACUCGUUACCUUCAAGCCAUUGAGAAGGCCCCACGAUUCGAGCGCCACAGCCGGCGCCGCACAGAUGGCAGCAUAAGCUCGUUGUUCCUGAGCUUGACCUCGAGUUAUGUCCUCGAGAGCUUUAGAAUCACGCAAGUGUUCAGCUCCAGGCAUCCCACCCUGAAACCAACCAAAAAAAAAUCAGCUUUUGGGAACGAGGAGCAACGAAAACAACGUUCAACGUACAGGAAGAACAACAAGAUCGUACUUUUCGUCCCCGCAUUCCGAUACGAUCGCGUCCGCAACCAGCUUCACGCCUCUCGACGCCGUAACUUUGGGUUCCUGUCCGACAGAGGCCACAGUGACAUGAGCUCCAGCUCGCCGGAGAACGUCGAUGACAAUCACGGCCUCCAUUUCCUCCGUCCCAUCCGCAACCGGCACAAGCACCUGAGACAAAGCGAACAUAGAUAAUGCAAAGAACACACACACACACACAAGAAACAGUACCUUUUUCGGAGACGCCAUAGCAAUAAUUCUCACACACGACGAAGAACAGCUUCUUCUUCUUUUUGGGCGAUCAGCGGAGAGGCCGAGAUGCCCCCUCCCGCUAGAAAGCGCGACGGCUCGGACGAGCCCAGGAGUGACAAGUGCCCUAACGGCCAUUGGAGCACUGUUCGCUAUACGUGGCCGAUGCUCCAAGGGACAAUAGAAUAGAACGAAGCAUCGAGCAAGCCGACCACCCUUGUUUUGUUUUGUAAACGAUAAAGAUCUGGAGAGACGAACACGCACUGUGAGCUCAGAGCAUGGAUGCAGCGCUCACAGCGGUGUACCUCUUUCUCUUUCACGCUGCUGCGCAGGAUUUGUGUUCCAGGAAGUGCGGGAGCUUCACUGCCGACUAUCCGUUUGGCUUCGAUCGCGGAUGCGGGCCUCCGGAGUUUGAGCUCAACUGCAGCAGCGCAGGCAAGCCUCUCCUCCAGACCGUCGCUGGCCAGUUCGAGAUCCUCGAGGCGACAGCAACGACUUUGAUCGUCGAAACUUCCAGGCUCAAGAGCAACUCGUGCACCGGAGCUGAGGCGUUCUUUGAUGUCGGCUCCACUGCUCCAUACACUCUGUCAGCAAACAAUGAGUUCUUCGCAAGAGGUUGUUCUGUAGAGGGUUCUUACACAGCAGAUGCGGAGAGUACACAGCACUGUGAAACGGGCUGCCAACCCGGUCGCGAGCCGAAUAUCCGGAAUCCUUUCUGUGAAGAACUCGAGUGCUGCAUCCUGACUAUUCCGUCUGGAAAACGCAGCGUUAUCAUCAAGAGCAGUGCUAACAACGGUACUAGCGACUGCGGCUACUCUAGCGUGAUCUUUCCACCGAGCUACCAAGUAGUAACUUACGGGAUUGAGUUGCUUUGGGCCAUGCCAGGUAACUGCUCCACUUCUGCGCAUCUGUGCUCUCUGAAUGCUACGUGCUUGGAUGCACCCCAUCAACCUGGGUUUUUCAACUGCAUUUGUAACACAGGAUCAGGAAAUGGCUUCUCGAAUGGAACGGGCUGCUCAGGUAAGCAAAAAAAUCUAGAAUACCUUUCUUAUCCCUCACCAGCACAAGAUUCUUAAGUUGUUUUGUAUAGCUGUAGUGGAUCACUGUGCGAGCUCUCCCUGCUCGGAGGGAGCAAUCUGCGUCAACGACCUAAACUCGUUUACAUGCAAGUGUAGACAAGGAUACAAAGGAAACGCUACCAGUGGCUGCAGGAAAACCGACGUCUUUCAGCACAUCACGAGUGGACCUGUUCUUCUGGUCGUAGCUGCUGCGAUACUAGCCGGCUCUAUCUGCGUCUGCAUCGUAAGAACGAAAAAGUUAGGCCGCAAGAAGGGCUUGUUUCCAAAGCUCGGAAGCCUCGCUCACCUCCAGCUCGAGUUCAAGCAGAACGCCACCUUCUUCUCCUUCGACGAGCUCUCGAGAGCAACGCAGAACUUCAAGGCCGAGCUCAUGCUGGGAACCGGCAGCUUUGGCACAGUCUUCCAAGGAGUCCUGGACGACGACACUCCAGUGGCGAUCAAGAAAGCCAACAGCACCACAGGCCCCCGGAUCCAGCAGUUCCUCAACGAAGUCACCAUCCUCUCGCAGGUAAACCACCGCAACCUCGUCAAGCUCCUCGGCUGCUGCCUGGAAACCGAAGUCCCACUCUUAGUCUUCGAGUUCGUCCCGAAUGGAACUCUCUUCGAGCACUUACAGCACAGGAGAUCUUCGAUCCUCAGUUGGGAGAGACGCUUGCAAAUCGCCAUCGAGACCGCCGAGGCCAUCUCCUAUCUCCAUUCCUCCGCGGCACAGCCGAUCUACCACCGCGACGUCAAGUCCACCAACAUCCUCCUGGACGAGAAGUUCACUGCCAAGGUAGCGGACUUCGGGAUAUCGAAGUUAGUGAGCCUGGAAGCCACGCACGUCUCCACCACCGUGCAUGGAACUCCAGGCUACAUCGAUCCACAGUACCAGCAAAACUAUCAGCUUACCGACAAGAGCGACGUCUACAGCUUUGGAGUGGUGUUGCUGGAGCUCAUCACGGGGCAAAAGCCUGUGGAUUUCUCGCGGAACUCCUCGGACAAGAAUCUCACCGCAUUCUCGCUCGCUUACAUCCAGAGCAGCCGGAUCGAGGAUAUUAUCGACAAGGGCCUGGAGCUGGGAGACGAGAGAGCCAAGAUUUCGAGCAUACAAGAGGUAGCAAACCUAGCGAUCCGAUGCCUCGAGUUUAAUCGGGAGAACAGGCCGGCGAUGAGGAGUGUGGCCGAGGAGCUGAUGAAGAUCUCCGCCGCGUCGUGAUUGCCGCGAUCAAUCGCUCUGCCCAUUUGAAAUGCCAAACAAAGAUCAAACUUUUUUAGGGCUCUUCAACACCUAGUUGCAAGAAUAUGCGGUGAUAGCUCUCUCUUUUUUUCAUUGUGAUUUUCAUUUGUAUUAAUUUAGAUCAGUUCAAAGUAAAGUUAAUGGGAUGGAAGGGAAUAAAAGCAAGUGUUACUUUUUCUUCUGUUAUUUUCUUUGAAUGUUUCCAAUAAUAAUGAAAGAACAGUGUCACCAUUGUGGCAAAUCUUUUAUUUUAUUAGAUUUAUUUAAAAGGGAUAAACUGAUUUGUGCUAAUGCUCUAGAAUCUUCUGGAAUAUCACCAUUCUAGAAUAUUCUCGAAUGUUCAUGGCUCUGUGGAGCAAUCUCUUGGCCCCAGCAUCGAUCAAAAGUUUAUUAGAUCUCAUCUCUUUUCUAAGUUCUAGACAUGGCUUUGCAUUUCUAUCGCGGGAAUGGCAGCAGCAUCUUCGAUCCCUUUGAGGAGCUCUCAUCGAUCUUAGCUGGUGGCAACGAGCCGUCGAAGCAGAUGGCCAGGGAUGCAAGCGCCAUCGCUAACACUCGCGUCGAUUGGCUUGAGACGCCCGAAGCGCACGUCUUCAAGGCCGAUCUCCCGGGGCUGAGCAAGGAGGAGGUGAAGAUCAGCGUGGAGGAUGGGCGCACUCUCCAGAUCAGUGGCGACAGGAAGAAGCACGAGACACAGAAGAGCGAUAAGUGGCACCGCGUGGAGCGCAGCUAUGGGAGCUUCUUGAGGAAAUUCCGCCUGCCCGAGAGCGCCAAUGUGGAUGCGAUCAAAGCCCAAGUGGAGAAUGGCGUGCUUACUGUCACAGUGCCAAAGAUCCCCAAGCCACAGCCAAGAACAAUCCAAGUAGAAUAGAGGAGUGAUCUCAUAGAUGAUUGGAAAUCUAGAUUCUAGCCCUCUUGUUUGAGUUAUAUACUAAUAAAGGUAGUGGAAAUUUUGCACGUAAUUAAGGAGGAGGUGAAUUUUACUAAGUCAGCACAGUUUGACUUUACGUUGACCUUCAUUGACUUCUAGUCUCCCAUCAACAGCCCUAGCGAGCCCUAUCGCAUGGAAGGCAAACGUAAGAGAGGCGGCAAGAAGAAGACGAGGAAGAAGAAGGAUGCCAAGGUUCGUGUAGCAGCACCGCAUUCUAGCGAUGAGUCGGAGGAUCGUGGGGUUGAGAGCCCUGGUGUGGAAUUCGGGCUCGCAUUCGCAUCCAGGCACUGCGCCGUCCAGCCGCUGGGGAAUCUCCUCUUCACGGGCAGGCAAAAUAUUCGUGAUCCAGGGCUUGGGAGUCUCCAGCGUCUCAGCGAUGAGAUCGUCAGUGAUAUUCUGGCGCUGCUGGAUGCCAAGGAUCUGGCGCGGUCGGGCGUCUCGAGCAAGGGAUUCUAUGUUUUCAGCCACCAGGAAGCGCUGUGGCGGAAUCUGGUCCUCGCGGAGCUGAAAGGAGGAUUUUUGUUCCAAGGGAGCUGGAGAAAGACCUACGUCUCAGCUCGAUCGGCUUGGACAAAGGUAAGGUGUUCUUUGAGAGCUUUGUUCGUGGAAGAAGGUUUUGAUAGUUUUUGUUUCUUUCCAUUCAGGAAGAGGAUUUCUCUUCUCGAUCGGCUUGUACAAAGGUAAGGUGUUCUUUGGGACUUUGUUCUGGAAGAAAGUUUUGAUAGUUUGUGUUUCUUUUCUUUGCCAGAAAGAGGACUUCUCUCCUGUCAAGGUACUACUAAUGACUGCUUUCUUGGCAUCGUUCUAAGGUUCUCGUAAUGUUCUUCUAGGUGGAAGACUUCUAUUCGGACUACUUGUUCCAGAGCUGGCUUUGUGCCAGUGUGGAGAUCAAAGACGAGUGGAUUUCCAGGGACAACAUCGAGCGCAGAAGCCACCUUUCAGUCGAUGACUUUGUACGCGAUUUCGAGAGGCUGAACAAACCAGUUCUUCUCACCGAUGCUAUCAACAACUGGCCUGCGCUGAAACGAUGGAACCAGGACUAUUUACUCGAUCUGUGUGGGGACGUAGACUUUGCUGCUGGUCCAGCUGACAUGACGCUCAGCAACUAUUUCGUCUAUGCGAAGUCCGUGAAAGAGGAGCGACCUCUCUACUUGUUUGAUCCAAAGUUCGGGGAGAAAGUUCCGCAGCUGGCUGCCGACUAUGAAGUUCCUGUCUACUUCAGGGAGGACCUUUUCUCGAUACUGGGGAAGGAGAGGCCCGACUAUCGGUGGCUUAUACUCGGGCCUGCAAGGUCUGGCUCCUCGUUUCAUAUUGAUCCUAACAGCACUUCGGCUUGGAACGCAGUGGUCAAAGGUUCCAAGAAGUGGAUCCUGUAUCCUCCGGGUGCUGUUCCUCCUGGUGUUCAUCCCAGCCCGGAUGGAGUGGACGUAGCAACUCCGGUGUCCAUCACGGAAUGGUUUAUGAACUUCUAUCACGAGACAAAGCGGGCCAAGCAUAAACCGGUGGAGUGCGUUUGCAAAGCAGGCGAAGUCGUUUUCAUACCAAACGGCUGGUGGCACAUUGUUAUAAAUCUGGAAGACUCGAUCGCCAUCACGCAGAACUACGUUAGCAGGUAUUUCUGGUGUAUGCGACGUCGCUGAUGGCUAACAUGUCAUUUUUGCUAGGAGCAACAUCCUGAAUGUUCUGGAUUUCCUUAACAAGCCAAAUUCCCAGGAUUUGGUCUCAGGAACAAAAGAUCGCGUUAACUUAUACGACAAGUUCAAAUCCAGGUACGAGGAGCUUCAUCCCGGGUCAUUGGAACAACUCCGGAACGAGAAAAGAGCUCAGGAAUCUCAAAAGAAGCGGUCUGUUUGGGAGAGUGUAACUUCUGGCGGUGAUUUUCGAUUCAAUUUCGGCAGUUGAAAACAGUAGAGGUAAAAACUUUCAAAGACAUUAUUUUCUUGGAGUCUCAAGUUUUCUCUUGCAGUUGUCAAAGAAUAUUGCAAAAGUUUGUUAGAAACUUCUUACUCCAUAAGGGGUUGCAUUGCCUUUUUAAGCUCUUCAAGAACAAACUUCAUUGUCGGCCUGCUACUUCCGUCGAACUGUAAGCACAAAGCUGCCAAGUUUGCAACUUUUGCAACGCACUCCAGCAUUUCUGGAGUUCUAGCAUCCAACCUCUUGUCGAUCAACUCGCUGAUGGCUCCUCUUUGUAUGACGCUCAUUGCAAAUGUGGACAGGUUUUUAUCUGAAGCACAGCGAGAGAAGUCUACAGGCAUCUGACCUGUUAUUAGCUCCAAGAUGACUACUCCAAAGCUGUAAACGUCGCUCUUAUCUGUAAGCUGAUAGCUUUGCUGGUACUGUGGAUCUAUGUAACCCGGUGUUCCAUGCAGAGUUGUGGAAAUGUGAGUGGAAUCUAUGGGUACCAGCUUGGAAAUCCCAAAGUCCGCUACUUUGGCCGUGAGCUUUUCGUCCAACAAGAUGUUCGAGGAUUUGACGUCCCGGUGAUAUAUCGGCGGAGAAGCUGCAAAGUGAAGGUACGUAAGAGCCUCCGCUGUCUCCGUCGCAAUUCUUAAACGGUUUUUCCAGGAUAAUGUAUCUCCGCGUCUGUGCAGAUGCUCGUACAGUGUUCCUCUUGGCACGAACUCGUAGACCAAGAGAGGUACCUCUCUUUCUAUGCAACAUCCCAGCAUCUUGACGAGAUUUCUGUGGUUCACUUUCGAGAGGAUAGUAACCUCGUUCAGAAACUGUUGAAUGCGAGGGGCAUUGCCGUUGUUGGCUUUCUUGAUAGCCACCGUGGUGCCGUCGUCCAGUUUACCCUUGUAGACUGUGCCAAAGCUGCCAGUGCCUAGCUUGAGGUCGCUUCUGAAGCACUUGGUGGCUCUCUCCAUCUCUGCCCAGGUAAAGAUCCUUGAGUUUUCUUUGAAACUGGCCUGAAGAUGUUUCAAGUUUCUAGUUGACAGUGCGGACAAUUUCGGCCGGAACUUCCAGAGGAAAAAUCCAAAAACGAGAAGAGCUGGUGCGCCUAUAGCUGAUGAUCAACGUGGAAGACACGUUUAAGAAGCAAGCUUUUCUCUUUAAGUAGCUCACCAGGAAGAAGAAUAACGUAUCGCUUUAUCGCGCAGCCACCAGUCAAGGUACCGUUUCCUUCAUACCCCGCCAAACACUUGCAACGAAAUGAUGUUCCUUCGUUGAUACAGCGAGCUUUUGGUGCACACGAUCCGGGGCUACAGUGAUCAACAGCUAAAACCAAGGAAAACAACAAAGAGAAGAGUAUGCUUCCUCGUCAAAUCUGGAUAGACUUACGCAAACAGCCACUUCCAUUGCGGUAUCCGUCACCAGCAAAUCCAUCCUUGCACAAGCAGUUGUAACCCGGUACGUUGCUCGCGUUUACGCAGUUAGCGUUUGUAGAACAGAGAUUUAUGUCAUCGACUGAAGCGCAGGUGCUCCCAGGUACCUCCCAGAUCAACUCAACGCCAUAGCUCGAGUCACUAGGCACGUAGCUCUUUGGGAAGAUCACGCUGGAGAAGCCGCAAGACCUUGGAGCACAGCUCGUCAAAACAACACUCCGAGCUCCAGCCGGAAUCGUGGUGACGCAGCAGUCUUCAAGCGUGCAAAACGGAUUGCGGGCGCUAGCGGUGCGAUUGCGGGAGUUGGGACAACCGGUCUGGCACCUGGACGCAGUCGGGUAGAGAUCCGUGGAGUAGUUGCCCCCGGCAUUGCAACCGGUGAGGAAGAACUCGUUGUUCCCGGAGAGGAAGUAUGGAGACGUUGGCUUCAAGCCCAAGCUCGCGGUGGCCUCGCUCCCGUUGCAAGACGUGGCCUUGAGGCUGGUCGCGUCGAUCACCAGAGUCGUGGCAGUGACCUGGAGGACACGGAAGCUCUCGGUGUCGGUGCGGAGGAGGAGAGCGAAGUGCUCUUGGUGGUGCUGCUUGGAGGUGCUACACUCGAGUUGGAGCUGGGGGUGACCGCAUCCAGGAAGCGAGCUGAGCGGCGAAGGUACGAGGAUUUCUCCACAUCUUUGCGAGCAGAUUGAUGGUGCUUUUGCUGUGGCAGUGGCGAUGAUGGCGAUGCUCGCAACGAUCAAGCAAAGUAGUGAAGGAAUUAUCGAGCAAAGUUGUGGACAAGGUAUAGAAGAAGAAGAAGAAUAUUUGGGAGGAGAGCGCAUUGCUUUUCUUUACCGGGAAGCUGAUCAAGGCUUGUUUGGUGGUGCCUGAUAAAGGCGACAGCGACAAAUCCAUGGCGAUCGAAUCAACGUUUGGUGGCGGAACUAAAAACGAAAUGGAGAGAAGAGCGUGUGGUUUGUGUUAGACAGCGUUGCGUUAGUAGUCCAACGGUCAGGAUAAUUGCCUUCCAAGCAAUAGACCCGGGUUCGACUCCCGGCUAACGCAUGCCUCUUUUCUCUUCUUUUUAUAUCUAAAAAGUGCCUAUUCAUUGCGUUAUUCUGUUUUUUUGUAACUUCUACUUUUUAAAACUAACUAGCUAAUUUUACAUUUUAAUUAUUUUCAAAACGUGCGGUUGCUACGAUCCUUUAUCACAUUGUAGAACUAUGAUUAUAUCAUUAGUAUUUACUUUGCUGGUAACGUAAAACACGGUACUUUUGAACCUUUUUGCCUUUUUAAAAUUGAUUUUCGAGGGGAAUCGAGCCCAGCAUAUACCAGGAACGAAUAUCCCAUGCAAAUACCAUUAGGGCUCCAGGGGAUAGGGAUUAUAGGUCGCGGGGCUUCGAUCGAUCGAUCUCUCCCAGGCAGGAACCCCCAAGCUCCAAGAAGCCAUCCAAUCCGCCACGACGGCGACGACGGCGGCCUCCUCCUCGCUCGCUCGCCGCCUGAGCAGCAGCAGCAGCGUCCUCGCGCGUGGCGGCAUGGCGGCGCGGCAAUGGCUGCGCCAGAUGUCCUCGAUGAAGGUAAAGGACGUGCCCGGCUAUGUCAAGGAGAAUGUGACGCCCGCCAACAUCAAAAAGGCGUCGCGCACGCUCAUGGACGAGUACUACGACAAGUACAUCCAGACGAGCAGCUUCACGCCCGUCUAUCACUUCCUCAUCGGCGGCACCAUCUUUGCCUACAUUGUUGCCUAUCCCACUGAGAUUCGCCACUACCAGCAUGAAGAGGAGGAGCGCCUUCGCAAGCUCCGGGAGGGCGGUGGCGGUGGCAGCGAAGGCGGCCAUUGAUCUUCCAGCUCCUCCUCGAUUCAUCCAGUUCGCCCUGGUGAGUUCUCUUCUCUUCUCUUUGCAGAGUUCUCUCUUCACGAGUUCCUCCGGCCCUUGGUUCUUUGCUUGCUUUGCUUCUCAUUCGUCUACUCAAUCGCCAUCUUCGUCAAUAGAGCUCGAGCUUCCUAGUUGAUAGUUCUUUUCUUUUCUUUAUCUCCAUCGCCAUCUUCAUCUCGUGGAGUUUUCUCUUCACGACUGUUCGCCUUUUUCUUCUCAAUCGCCGCCCGGGUUUCCUUUGCCAUCGCCAUCUUUUUUAAAGCUCGACUUUUCUAGCUCGAUUUCUCGAAGUUACUCCUUUCUUUCCGGUUCUAUAACCUGAAUGCUUCUCUUCCAAAUGCCUUUCUUUGUUCAUUGUCACUGACUGGAGUUGUCUUACAGAUUGUGCUGAAAAAAACACCCAAAAAAAUGAAACAAGGAAGCAGUAGCUCUGAGGAAGGAAAGGACCUGGCCGUCUCUUUUUCUAGGAACACUGUCAUAAAACUCUUGCGUACGCUGGUGUGUGUGAGGUACCUGUCUC